AAAAGUGGCCAGUGUGUGGGUGGAGUGUGAGAACAAGUGCUGAUUGAAAUGGUUUGGAUAAUUAUUUCCUUUGGCUGGAGAACCUUGAAUUGUGUUUUGACCCUGGCCUGUCCAAGAAGAACGAACAGAUUAGGAGUCCAAUGGAAGGAAUUUUCUUCAAGAGAAAGAUAUCUAUCUACUGGUCCUAAGAUCGGUGUAGUAUUCUGCAGUCCAUGCCCUGGCCAGCUCACUGUCCUGUACAGAUCCUGAAUUCUACGUUUAUGUACAUGGUGGGAGGGAAAGCAGAGAAUCUCAGCUGGGAUGCAGGUUUUGAUUUCACCACUGCUUUAAACAUCAGAAUGCGCUAAUCCGCUCUUCCCUCGGGGAGUUUGGCUGGGGUGGAAAAUCGUGUCAAAAAAGUUGUGACAAUAAUUAAAGUGAUUUAAACAUGGCAGACCAAAACAAAUCCCAUUAGGCUGCAUUACAUAUUCAUAAAGUGCAUGUUAAAUCAAGCACAAAUUUGGAACGUGUAAGUGAGGUUAUGAGUACAACACUACUGACAAAAAAAAGAUAUCCUCUAUGAAACACAUUCAAUCAGCACAGUGGCACAAUGAUAUGAAUUCCUAA